AAUUGCAAACUUUAUUAAUUUUAUAAUUACUAGGGCCGGCGUCCGCGCUGCGCGCGGAUUACAUGUUUAAUAAAAAUCAGGGGAGAAGUUCGAAACGGUGAUCAUUUUUUUUUAAAAAACAACUGUAAGUAUGAAUAAUAAAUAGUUUUGAGGAAUUCGAUAUUUGAAUGAGAAAAUAAUCUUUGUGUGUGACAAUUUAAUUGAUGUAGGAAGUGGUAACGUAAAUGUUUUAAAAGUU